rfam:Coprinopsis cinerea okayama7#130 cont3.68 mitochondrial, whole genome shotgun sequence.
GGUCCCUUAGCUUAAUUGGUAGAGUAUCUAAUUGUCGAUUAGAGGUGUUUCAGUUCGACUCUGGAAGGGAUCG